rnacentral:lncRNA from 1 species
AUAUAUUAUAUAUACAUUGACUAUUUUUAGUUCAUGUAGUAUGAUGCACAGCUAUUUAAAUUAAUAAUACUAACUCAAGAGUGGACCAUAUGGAGCCUAUAUAAGGCUGCAGUCUUCACAGGCCCAAUCAACAUCUAAAAGCAUAAAUUCCAGGGAAAUAGUAAGGGUCUACAGAAAUAGCAAGAAGGAUUUAGGGGAUGUUUGAUAUGAGGUAUAAGAAGGUAUA